UAGUUUGAUCAGUGGCUCGAGGACGAACGCUGGCGGCGCGCCUAACACAUGCAAGUCGAACGGAGCUUAGAGAGCUUGCUUUUUAAGCUUAGUGGCGAACGGGUGAGUAACGCGUGAGUAACCUGCCCUAGAGUGGGGGACAACAGUUGGAAACGACUGCUAAUACCGCAUAAGCCCACGGUACCGCAUGGUACUGAGGGAAAAGGAUUUAUUCGCUUUAGGAUGGACUCGCGUCCAAUUAGCUAGUUGGUGAGGUAACGGCCCACCAAGGCGACGAUUGGUAGCCGGACUGAGAGGUUGAACGGCCACAUUGGGACUGAGACACGGCCCAGACUCCUACGGGAGGCAGCAGUGGGGGAUAUUGCACAAUGGGGGAAACCCUGAUGCAGCGACGCCGCGUGGAGGAAGAAGGUUUUCGGAUUGUAAACUCCUGUCGUUAGGGACGAUAAUGACGGUACCUAACAAGAAAGCACCGGCUAACUACGUG
rnacentral:rRNA from 1 species